AAUUUAUACGCAAACAAAUAAGAAUGAGAAAUUUUUCAAGAUCAAAGAAAAAGAAAUAAUGGAGGUAAUAAUAUUAUAUAGAGACGAAGAAGAAGAAGAGUAGAAGUAGGUAAUGGUAAUGGAGGUCACAUGAAAGGUAGCUUAGAAAAGAAGGCAAGUUAUUAGGGAAAGAGAUCGUUAGAGGGAGAUGGGAAGAUAUUACGUGAACAUAAAGCAAAAAAAAGUAGAAGACUAGGAACGCUGCUAUAUGCUAUUUCUCUUUUUUUCAUCAAUACCUCCUCCUCUUUGUUUAUUUCUCUAUUUAAUCAAAAUCCUUAUACUCUUCGUUAGUAAUGGGAUCAUAUCAAUACAUACCUGAGAAAUAUAUAAUUUCGAUGUUCACAGGACCUCAUCACGAGGAGCCGAGGAUGGUUUUUGAUGAAACUUGCAAUAUUAAGUGCUGCAGUCGUCAAGGCCACGGAGUUUACCCAAGAAAAUAACAAAUCCCCAUGACCUUUUUUUUUUUUUUGUUUCUUUCACUUCUCGAUAUUACAGUACCAUUACUAUAGAUUAGAAUACUCCUAACUUUUGAUUAGCUAAAAGGGUCAAACAUGUUUCCAUAUAAGAGUUUUUUUAUUAUUAUUAUUUGUUUUUGCAUUAUUUUCAGAUAUAGAGUGCAGGUACUUGAGUGGCAUAAUAAUUGUUAUCAAUAGGUGUGAGAAAAU
rnacentral:lncRNA from 1 species